GGCACAGACACAAGCGGCUGGACAUGAAGAGGAACACACCGGCGGGAGAACACAGAACACGCACCCUUUCUUUUAGUCACCCUGGAGGCCUCGGAGAAGGCGGUUUCAGUGAUCCGUGAAGAGACCCCGAGUCUUUUACAUCCCGGAGAAUGACAAGAGAGCGAGUACCUGGGCGACGUUUACGUUCUGGGAUUUCGGGAGAUGCGGUUUUCUGCACGCCAGGGGCCAAGCCUGAGACGUAGAUGGACGGCAGGGAUAGGAGCUCUCUCCGCGCCACAAACGCCCCUGCUCAUACCUGGGUUCCUUGAUUUUCCUGCCUAUAUAACCCAGCCUCCCAUGGCCGGGCUCUGAGCUCUCAUUCUGCGGACUGGGACAAAGGGGUUAACUGUGAUGCGCUUUGUAUAACCCCAGGAUUCUGCACUUGCCCAAGGGCGAGGUGCAAAUCAAAAACUACGCACAACUGAACACCGAGAUCAGGAUCCCGACUCAGAUUGAAAAAGCAGAGGAUGGUCACUGCCUUCCAGGUCUGAGGCUGUCUCCCAGAAGCUUCACUCCUGGCUUCGCCUUGGUAGGGAAGUUUCCGGAGGUGUUCGAAAACCUGGAAACUUAAGUGGGACAUAGGACGCUAUUUGUGUCCCGGUUAUAAAAAUUGGCAGAAAAGACAAGUGUAGUGUGGGGGAUUAGCUCAAGCGGUAGAGCGCCUGCUUAGCAUGCAAGAGGUAGCAGGAUCGAUGCCUGCAUUCUCCAGCUUCUUUUAAUCCCUAGGCUACCAAUGGUAUCUGGCCUAGAUGACAGUUGCACAGUACUCGUUAUUGUUGUGGCAGUAUCUGUGUGGAUUAUUGGCCUCAUCCACUGUGCCUGGUGCUGAAGAAGUGCUUCAGGAAUGAAUCCACAGAUUGAGAUGAAAAUUCUCAAGCUUUCUCUUUCUCAACUCCUCCAAGGUUCUCCAUCACUUUCUGAGUCCUACAGGAGGAAAGUGCUAUUGAAGAUGCGGCUAUGCCGUGAAGCUCUGGGGCUGGGAGAAGCUGUCCCACCACUUCCGGGCGGCGGUGGCGGCAAGGAGCAGUUUGUAUUCCCCGUUGUUUCUCCUGUUGACGACAUCUGUGCCUCUUAUCUGGGAGAAGAUCAGAGGAAACUGCCGCCUCCCUAGAGCCCGUGUUUUAUUGAUCCCCGUGUAAGAGUCUUGUUGCCCCUGCUUCCAUCCUCCCUUCUUUUCCACUCCUGCCACAGGUUUGGCACUUCUAGGUACUCAGGUGUCAGCGCAAAUUUCCCGUCUUUAGACAAGUACAGCUAAAAGUGAUGCCCACACGAUCUCUCAGUUCCUAUUACAUCUUCACAAAUAUCGUCUCCUCCGGAAAGUAUGUCUUUGAAUUAUUGGUUUGUUUUUCUCUCCCCUAGAAUGGGAGCUUCCUGAGUACCGAAACACUGUCUAUGUAGACUGUGUUUAACUCACUUCAUCACCAUGUGUAGAGUUAAGGUCCUAUAAAAUACGGUUACUGCCUUGAACAGAUGAGGUGAGUAGUAUAAGGAAACGGAGAUCAAACACAAAGCAAUACUUAAAAAAAUUAUCCUGCCACAUUUCUAAAAUCUUAAUAAUAGCAUUCACUAAUGUUUUUUGGUUUUCCUUUGUGCUUUCUCCAUAGCCCCUUAUUCUUAUCAUUAUUUUUGACAUUUGACUCACAAUUUUCCAUUUGUUUUCAAAUGACCAAGCAGAUUUUCCAAUUUUCUAGUUAAUUCCUGUGUUUCCUUCACCAUUCUGUUUUCUGGUUUUCUUUUGGGCUACUUCUCCUUCUCCUUCUUCUUCUUCUUUUUCUUUUUCUUCUUCUUCUUCUUCUUCUUCUUCUUCUUCUUCUUCUUCUUCUUCUUCUUCUUCUUCCUCUUCUUCUUCCUCUCCUUCCUCUUCUUCUUCCUGUUCUUCUUCUUCUUCUUCCUCUUCUUCUUCUUCUUCCUCUUCUUCUUCCUGUUCUUCUUCUUCUUCUUCUUCUUCUUCCUCUUCUUCUUCUUCUUUUUCUUCUUCUUCUUCUUCUUCUUCUUCUUCUUCUUCUUCUUCUUCUUCUUCUUCUUCUUCUUCUUCUUCUUCCUCUUCUUCUUCUCCUUCUCCUUCUUCUGCUUCUGCUUCUGCUGCUUCUUUUUCUUCUUUUUCUUACUUCUUAUAUUGGAUGCACUGAUUUCUUCUAAUGUUUUGUAACUUGGGUAUUCAAAGGUAUAAGUUAAAACGAGAAAGCAGUUUCUACAGAAUCCUUAGAAAUAUGUCGUUAUAAGCCCCCAUUUUCAUUAUAUUCUAAGGAGCUCGAAGAUAUACUUUUGAUUCUUUUCUAAACUGUGCAUUCGAGAGUUAAUCCCUUCUUGUUUACUUUUAUGUUCAGUCUUUCAAUGUUAUUUUCUAAUUUUUGUGUAUCAUUUUAUUUAUCAACACAUAAAUAUAUAUAUUCACAUAAAUAUAUGAGUUAUAUAUACAUGUAUUUAUGAAUGGCAGCUGAACCACAUAUUAGUGCUAAUAUUGGUGACUAAAAGUUGGAGAACCAGACACUAUGUACCUCAUAAAGCGAAGCAAUGGAAAGUGCACAAGCCCACCUAUCAAAUUGUCUUGUUAAAAGAUUCGAAGCUGAAUCUAAGUGAGCCUCUACUUUUAACUACCAGUUUACAAGAAAUAGAGUAGAUUAAGAAACAUGUCAAGGGGCAGGAAAUAGAUACAAUGAAAUAAAUACAACAUAGAGGUGUUUCUAAGGAUAAAAGGCCCAGUUCCUUCAACAAUUAACUGGCAUUAACUCUUUAUGAUACUAUAAGGGUAAAUAUAUGUCAUUAUACAUUUGUUUAAAAAAAAACCCAGGAUGUAUAACACAAAGAGCAAACUGUAAUGUAAACUGUGGACUUUAGUUAACAGUAAUGUAUUGAUAAUUACUGGUUUACCAAUUGUAACAAAUGCACCACACUGAUGCAAGAUGUUAAUAAUAGGGAAAAUUGUAAGAGAGGGAGAGUGAUGGAGUUUAUGGAAAUUCUAUCUAUUCUGAUCAAUUUUUCUUUAAACCCAGAACUUCUCUAAAAAAUAAUGUCUAUCAAUUUUAAAAAUAAUAUCAAUGGAAGAAAGACCAGGGACCUUUUAUGGGUGAAAAGAGUCUUAAAAAACAUAAAAAUCUGUAGAUUUUACUUUAUUAUUUAUAAUCAGCUAUUAGGAGAAAUUUUUUUGUAUGGCUGACAAUCAGAAAAAAAGUUAAUAUUAGAUCAUAUUUAUGAUCUAUUACCAAUUUGUUAACAAUAGGUACAUACACACAAGCAAACACGGCCCUAAAAUUUCCUAGUUCUCUCAAGCUAUUGAUUUCAUCCUUAUCUCUGCUGCUGAGUUCAAGAAAGUGAAAUGUGUAAUGGCUAUCUUUCCUUUCUGGUUUAUUUCAAAGUCAAGUUCUAAUAUAGGUAAACAAAUAAACUAAUAAAGAGAUAAUGCUUUUCUCAUGAAAUGUAUAAUCUAGUAGGAAUAAAGAUAAACAAUUUUUUUAAAAAUUCUAUUUCAUUAAGCAAAAAUGCAACUCGGAAGAAUAAUGUACAUUAGCAGUCAUUUACUAUUUUUCAAUAAAAUUCCGAUAUAUAUGUAAAGUAAAUUAUUACUAAUAUCAAACAUAGUUUAAAGAAUUAGUGACUAUGUGCACUUGGAUCUCCAUAUGUAAUGUACUAUCAGCAUCUUCACAAACACAGUAAAUUUUAAUAUGCAAAUAAAACUUAUUUUACUAAACGAUGAUUACUCCUUCUAUAUUCAUAUUCCUAAACACAUACAGUUUCUUAAUGUAAUUAAGUUUUUAACUAAAAAAAGGGAAAUGCAUUAUUGAGGCGAUAGGAUUACUGGGUGGCUAUAAACACAUCUGCUGCACAGCUGACAUUUAUCUUCUACAAUAAGCAAUGACAAUUUUAUUUUUUAAUAAUCAGUAUGGACUAAUCCUGAUGAUUUUUUUUAACAGUUUCAAAUAGGGCUGCAUAUGGCUUAAAAUUAAUAUAUAUAUGUGUACCUAUAUAGUAUUCUUAUUUAUUAAUGGACUUCCUACAUAGCUCAUAUUGACGUUAGAUUUAAAUGAAAUUCCAGAAGGGUUUUCUAUAGGUAAGUCAUACACUGGAUUUCCAUAUUACCUACGAUUAUUGAAGUAUUUAUUUCUGUUUUUAGGACUUCAGAGCAAUUUUGCUGGUCAUUUAUUUUCUGUGUUUUUAUUUUGAAAUUGUUCUUUGAUGCAUUGUCCUAUUACAUUUUUAAGGUAUGUUAAUAAAAUAAUAUUUUUAAUGAUA